rnacentral:rRNA from 1 species
GGAGGGUGCGAGCGUUAAUCGGAAUUACUGGGCGUAAAGCGCGCGUAGGCGGCCUGAUCAGUCGGAUGUGAAAGCCCUGGGCUUAACCUGGGAAUUGCACUCGAUACUGUCAGGCUAGAGUAUGGGAGAGGGAAGUGGAAUUUCCGGUGUAGCGGUGAAAUGCGUAGAUAUCGGAAGGAACACCAGUGGCGAAGGCGACUUCCUGGCCCAAUACUGACGCUGAGGUGCGAAAGCGUGGGUAGCGAACAGGAUUAGAUACCCUGGUAGUCCACGCCGUAAACGAUGAGAACUAGAUGUCGGGAGGAUUUACCUCUCGGUGUCGCAGCUAACGCGUUAAGUUCUCCGCCUGGGGAUACGCCGGCAACGGUA